AGUGGAUUCAAAAUGAAAAUUAAUAUAAUUGCUAAAUUAAGGCACAGUUUAAAGGGGACAUAUUAUGCAAAACCAACUUUUUAAUCAUUUGAUUAUGUACAUUUGGGAAUCUGGAGGGCCUAUCAGCAGGCAAAGUGUGAAAAAAUAGGACUCAGUCGUGUUUUUGUGGGCUGCCUCAAGUCCUAAUACACGAGAUAAAUCACUCAAUUUCAGAGGUCCAGACUUUUUGACGUCAUUUAGUCUGCAUGUUGCCACCCACCGCGGUUUACUUCCUGUUGACUAUCGGAGCUCCGCCAUUGUUACUAUAAAAGCGCAAGCUAGCAGAGAACAAGCAAACGAGCCCAGCCUGCAGCCUGCAGUCCAAUGUCUGGGCAAAGGCUUCAGCAGGGAAACUGUUCAGUCAUUGGCUGCACAGCCCAACACUAAUUUAUAUAUGUAUGAACACAGUGGAUUUAUUUUGGUUUUUGACGGCAAUAUCCCGCGGGAAAACCGGAAGGUGUGUGAACCACUUUGUGUCGGACUGUUUUCACAACCUCGGUCAGUACAACACUGGACUGACUGAAAGACUGUUCCUGAAAGAGGGAUUGUACCAACUGUCUGUGGAGAGACGGCAGAGGAAGUCACUGUGAGCUGAUGAAGCUCAGGUGUUCCUGGACCCAUCAGAGGACAGAGACAGCUGCAGCAUCAGGACAGCCUGAAGGACGCGAUCUGCAAAGUUUACAUAGAAGUUCUAGCUUUGUUACUUACAACAUGUGUAACUGGAAUAUGAAUGAAACAUAAAUAAAGUGUUUUAUUUUUAAGAA